CGAGAGGAGUAACGUUACCAUGAUGUCGUGGUCUUCAGUGCGAGCAAAAGACAUGCUUUUCUGCAAGCGGCUCAGAAUGGCACCCCGCUCACCCUAUCGCCAGUCAAAAAGGCUCUAAGCAAGUAGUUAAAUUCUGAUAAGCUAUUUAAACAUUAAUUCAAUGAUCACCUGUAUUAAGUUAUAACGUUACCAAUUCUGUUCUAAAGGCUUCAGGGGGACGUCCGACUUCGACGUCGUGGUCACCAGCCGGGCUGAUCUGACCGUCACCAGCGUCCCGUUUGUCCGCAGACAACCAACAACACAAUCAAAGAGCCCACUUCGAGAAGUGUCCACGAUGCCAUCGGGACGAAAGGUCAAUCUCGUAGAGGCAAAGGUGGUCUCCAUCCCCCCCACUACCCGGACCAUCCGAGGCACCGAGCGAGAGCUCCAGGAGUGUCUCAUCUCUGACGGCACCAACGAACUCACGCUGCAGCUUUGGGAGCACCAUAUCAACGCCGUCCAGAUGCUCUCCAGCUACCUCUCCGGUCUUCAAGGGGAAAGUCCAGCUGACCACAACCUUCUCAACAGCGGUAGAGAAAAUCCCAGACCUGCGCGUUUCUGACACAGCCAUUAGCACCCCGGAGUCAGCGGUGAACUCUGUUACCAGUUCGGUGUACAUUCUGGAACUCCUGGCGGUCAUGAAGUGCUCCAUCUGCGGCAACAAACAGGACAAGCUGGAUCACCGCACCGUGUUUCAUCGCUGCCAAAGCUGCAACAUGAAGCAGAAGACCGCAACCCAAUAAUGGCUCACGUGAACGUAUCGCCUUUUUUUUCACAAAUCCUCAUAUCUUCAAAGUACAUAAUAUCUGCUUACACAGCUGCACUAAUCUGUUUAUAAGCAGCCAAAAUGUUAUUAAGGUACCUAUAAUGCUUUGAGGUUUAUUAAAGAUUAAGUCAUUGCUGUUUAUAUAAAUCAAUAGAGUUCCACUGAAGAGUUUCUGUACAAUUACUCCCCAGAAUCAUUCAAACAGCUCAGCAGCACCUCCUACAGUAACGCGCUGCUUCCAAAACACAGUAAACGCGUAUUUGUGACAUAAAAAGGCUU
rnacentral:lncRNA from 1 species